UUGGUCUUUGUGUUUUCAGAUUGACAAUAUAUUUAGAUUGGCUGAUGACUUUUUUGCAAAACCCCAAGAGACCAAGAACAAGUUCAUCCGCCCCUUAUCUGACCCAAGUGGAAUUGGCUACAUUCCAAUAGGGAGAGAAACUUUUGAAGCAGACAAACCUGCUGACUUCAAGGAGUCCUUUGAUGCUAUUCCUGGAGGAGCUUAUAAUCAGCUAUGGCCAGGUAUCCCAAACUUUGAGAAGGAUGUGGUGGAGUUCCACAGAACUUGUGCCAAGCUGAGUCUUCGAAUGCUGAAACUGAUUGGGAUGGGACUUGGAC